rnacentral:rRNA from 1 species
GAUGAACGCUGGCGGCGUGCCUAAUACAUGCAAGUCGAGCGAACAGACGAGGAGCUUGCUCCUCUGACGUUAGCGGCGGACGGGUGAGUAACACGUGGAUAACCUACCUAUAAGACUGGGAUAACUUCGGGAAACCGGAGCUAAUACCGGAUAAUAUAUUCAACCGCAUGGUUCAAUAGUGAAAGACGGUUUUGCUGUCACUUAUAGAUGGAUCCGCGCCGCAUUAGCUAGUUGGUAAGGUAACGGCUUACCAAGGCAACGAUGCGUAGCCGACCUGAGAGGGUGAUCGGCCACACUGGAACUGAGACACGGUCCAGACUCCUACGGGAGGCAGCAGUAGGGAAUCUUCCGCAAUGGGCGAAAGCCUGACGGAGCAACGCCGCGUGAGUGAUGAAGGUCUUCGGAUCGUAAAGCUCUGUUAUUAGGGAAGAACAAAUGUGUAAGUAACUAUGCACGUCUUGACGGUACCUAAUCAGAAAGCCACGGCUAACUACGUG